UCCCCUUUGAAGUAAGAAGUGGCAGACGGGUCGAGUAACUGCGUGGGUGACCUACCCUCGAGCGGGGGAUAACGUCCCGAAAGGGACGCUAAUACCGCAUGACAUCCUGCCCUUGGACGGGCGGUGAUCAAAGCUGGGGAUCGCAAGACCUGGCACUUGAGGAGGGGCCCGCGUCCGAUUAGCUAGUUGGUGAGGUAACGGCUCACCAAGGCGACGAUCGGUAGCCAGCCUGAGAGGGCGGACGGCCACACUGGGACUGAGACACGGCCCAGACUCCUACGGGAGGCAGCAGUGGGGAAUUGUUCGCAAUGGGCGCAAGCCUGACGACGCAACGCCGCGUGGAGGAUGAAGAUUUUCGGAUCGUAAACUCCUGUCGAAUGGGACGAAUGGCCUGGCCGUGAACAACGGCCGGGAAUGACGGUACCGUGAGAAGAAGCCCCGGCUAACUCCGUGCCAGCAGCCGCGGUAAUACGGGGGGGGGCAAGCGUUGUUCGGAAUUACUGGGCGUAAAGGGCUCGUAGGUGGCCCACCCUAAGUCCGACGUGAUAUUCCCCUCGGGCUCAA
rnacentral:rRNA from 1 species